CAAUCAUGUGUAGUGCCAAUAU
rnacentral:miRNA from 3 species